GUAUAAAUUGGAAACAUUAAAAAAGCAAUCAAAAAUGUUUGAGCCAAGGCAACAACAGCAAACGUUUGCGGUCUUCUUGGGUCAGUUUAACCUGCGCUGGCUGGUCCGUUAACCUGUUGCUUCUCCAUCGGAAUGGUGCAGCUUCACACGAAGCGAAUGUUGGGGGAACUCGAUCUCGAGAGUUGAUGAUGGCAACGAUUGGCAGCGAUCGAGAUGUGUGCUACGGCGUCGAUGGGGCAACCGCACUCAACAUUUUAGACUUAACGCCUUG
rnacentral:lncRNA from 1 species